AAGCCUAUAGCCAAGCGGUAAGGCAAGGGACUUUGACUCCCUCAUCGUGUGUUCAAAUCACGCUAGGCUUGCCA
rnacentral:tRNA from 1 species